rnacentral:lncRNA from 1 species
UAAUAAGACAAACUAGAGGCUCUAAAGAGCCUGUGUCGCUCACCUUGGUCUAUGUGACUAUUAAACAAAAGAAGCAGAUGGAUUCAUGACAAAAUUGUAUUUUGGUGAUGUUGGUGUGUUUGUACAUCUUACUUUACUGAACAUCCUUGCUGCUUACAAUUAUCUCUAUCUAUAAUGAACUUGGCCCAGUAGUUUCAGUGGAAAAUGUUAGUAAAAAUUUACAAAUUUUAUAAAAAUUGUUGAAAAUUGACUAUAAAGGACAAUAACUCCUUAGGGGGUCAAUUGACCAUUUCGGUCAUGUUGACUUAUUUGUAAAUCUUACUUUGCUGAACAUUAUUGCUGUUUACAGUUUAUCUCUAUCUAUAAUAAUAUUCAAGACAAUAACCAAAAACAGCAAAAUUUCCUUAAAAUUACCAAUUCAGGGGCAGCAACCCAACAACGGGUUGUCCGAUUCAUCUGAAAAUUUCGGGGCAGAGAGAUCUUGACCUGAUAAACAAUUUAACCCCAUGUCAGAUUUGCUCUAAACGCUUUGGUUUUUGAGUUAUAAGCCAAAAACUGCAUUUUACCCCUAUGUUCUAUUUUUAGCCAUGGCGGCCAUCUUGGUUGGAUGGCCGGGUCAUCGAACACAUUUUUUAAACUAGAUACCCCAAAGAUGAUUGUAGAUAAGUUUGGAUUAAUUUGGCCCAGUAGUUUCAGAGGAGAAGAUUUUUGUAAAAGAUUACUAAGAUUUACGAAAAAUGGUUAAAAAUUGACUAUAAAAGGGCAAUAACUCCUAAAGGGGUCAACUGACCAUUUCGGUCAUGUUGACUUAUUUGUAAAUCUUACUUUGCUGAACAUAAUGGCUGUUUACAGUUUAUCUCUAUCUAUAAUAAUAUACAAGAUAAUAACCAAAAACAGCAAAAUUUCCUUAAAAUUACUAAUUCAGGGGCAGCAACCCAACAACAGGUUGUCAAGAUUCAUCUGAAAAUUUCAGGGUAGAUAGAUCUUCACCUGAUUAACAAUUUUACCAAUGUCAGAUUUGCUCUAAAUGCUUUGGUUU